rnacentral:rRNA from 1 species
AUUGAACGCUGGCGGCAGGCUUAACACAUGCAAGUCGAGCGGGCGAGGUUGCUUCGGUAACUUAGCUGGCGGCGGACGGGCGAGUAAUGCUUAGGAAUCUGCCUAUUAGUGGGGGACAACAUUCCGAAAGGGAUGCUAAUACCGCAUACGUCCUACGAGAGAAAGCAGGGGAUCACUUGUGACCUUGCGCUAAUAGAUGAGCCUAAGUCGGAUUAGCUAGUUGGUGGGGUAAAGGCCUACCAAGGCGACGAUCUGUAGCGGGUCUGAGAGGAUGAUCCGCCACACUGGGACUGAGACACGGCCCAGACUCCUACGGGAGGCAGCAGUGGGGAAUAUUGGACAAUGGGGGGAACCCUGAUCCAGCCAUGCCGCGUGUGUGAAGAAGGCCUUUUGGUUGUAAAGCACUUUAAGUGGGGAGGAGGCUUACCUGGUUAAUACCUGGGCUAAGUGGACGUUACCCACAGAAUAAGCACCGGCUAACUCUGUGCCAGCCGCCGCCGUAAGAC